AAAGCUUGUAUCCUGAAGAAAUGGGACCAGAUGUGAUGCCUCUGGAAGACUUUCUAGUGAAUGGCCUUCCCUUACUUGAUCAGAAAAUUGAAGAUAGGAUUAAACAAGCUUCUGCAAAUGGGAAUGUUCUGCGUUAUGUUUGCUUGAUUAAUGAUGCGAGGUAAUUCUUUCAUUUCAUUUUUAGUUUGCUCAAUGGAUAAUGGCAACUGGAUCUUUUAUUCUUAUCACGUUCUCCAAGUCACCAUACCUCUAGACACUUAAAGCAAAGCUUGCUCACUGAUGGGAGUGUUAUGGCAAGUUAAGGUACUGAUGAGUGAUGAGCAUAACAAUUACUACUAAUUAAGACAAGUUUAUCUUAGAAGAUAGUCUCAAUUCCUCUUAACAAAUGCUUUAGAAAAUUAUGACAGCAUUCACCCACUUGGACAUAUAAGUUUGAGAGCUAUCUGCAAACCAGUUAUGUGAAGUUGGCAUCCAAGAAGUUCCAAAAGAUUCUGCAUUGGGAAGAUUAAGAGGAAGUGAUAAUGUGGUGGAGAUAUACAGUCGUUGUUAC